UACGGGGGGGGCAAGCGUUGUUCGGAAUUACUGGGCGUAAAGAGCUCGUAGGCGGUGUGUCGCGUCGGCCGUGAAAACCUGGGGCUCAACUCUGGGCGUGCGGUCGAUACGGGCAUCACUGGAGUUCGGCAGGGGAGACUGGAAUUCCUGGUGUAGCGGUGAAAUGCGCAGAUAUCAGGAGGAACACCGGUGGCGAAGGCGGGUCUCUGGGCCGAUACUGACGCUGAGGAGCGAAAGCAUGGGUAGCGAACAGG
rnacentral:rRNA from 1 species